rnacentral:rRNA from 1 species
UACAUAUGGGGCAAGCGUUGCUCGGAAUUACUGGGCGUAAAGGGCGCGUAGGCGGCCUGUUAAGUCGGACGUGAAAUCCCCGGGCUCAACCCGGGAACUGCGUCCGAUACUGGCAGGCUUGAAUACGGGAGAGGGAUGUGGAAUUCCAGGUGUAGCGGUGAAAUGCGUAGAUAUCUGGAGGAACACCGGUGGCGAAGGCGGCAUCCUGGACCGGCAUUGACGCUGAGGCGCGAAAGCCAGGGGAGCAAACGGG